CAAGUCGGAGCUUCCCACUGAGCUGCUUGUGAUGAAGAACACAGCGGUAACAUCUUCAAUGUUUGCCUUCACUGACAGAGCCACUGUCGUCUCCUAUUGCUCCAAGAAAGGGAAAAAAUGUCCUGCUGAUGAGCACCAUGCACAAAGAUGCUGUCCUGAGCACCAGAGAAGACAGAAAACCACAAAUGGUCUUGGACUACAACAAGACAAAGAGAGGGGUAGAUAACCUGGACAAGGUCACAGCCACAUACAGCUGCCGACGCAUGACUGCCCGUUGGCCCCUUGUAAUUUUCUUCAACAUCAUUGAUGUGAGCGCCUACAAUGCCUUUGUAAUAUGGAGUGAGAUAAACAAGGACUGGAACAGCGGAACACUGACUCGAAGGAGGAUUUUCCUGGAGAAGCUGGGUUACGCGUUGGUGAAAUCUCGAGAGAGAAUCGAGAGAAGACAGUGCCUUCCAAGAGCAUCAACUGCUGCUGCAACUGUUGUGAAGGACAUCCAUACAGAGGCACACUGUGCAGCUCCUCCAGUGGUUCAAACUACAGGCAGGAAACGUGAUCCUGAGGAGAUUGGUGGGCACGGAUCUGGACUCCCCCCCUCCCCUGAUCUGAAGCAAUUCGUCAGAGAAUACCGUCCUACCAUGUCAGAGGUGGAGCGUCUGAUGAGCAGACUGCUGACAAAUGACUAUCACAAGAUUCAAAGUGUGUUCCCCUCCACAAGAAUGACUGCUCGCCUGAGAGAUCCGGAUUAUGAGAAGGACACAAACGCAGCCUUUAGAAACGCUGCGGAUGCUCUCAUUGUGAUGGUAAAAGAACAAUUUCCUCCGAGACUGAACCUUUCCGCCAUCACCUCUAUGACACAAGGGCCACAAGAAACAUGCAUCUCCUUCCUGACCUGCCCGACCACAGCCUUUGACACUCACAGCGGCCUUAACAGACCUGAUCCAAUGGGGGCACAGCCCCUAAUGCCAUAUGCAUGCCAUAUUGUCUACUGAGUCCUGCCCCGCAUCCCUGACACCAUAUCCGGAUAGCUCUGACAGUGAUGAUGAAUGUGAGGAUUGUGUGUAACUAAACAAUAUAUACGUGCUAGUGGUUAAACCAUUGAAUAUUAUUUACCAUACAUAUUGAAUAAUAUUAAUAAUUACUCAAAAGCAAUUUUCAUGUAAACUAUCAAGUGUAGUACAACAAUCCCAUGGACAUAUGACAUAAUUUGGGUACUGUAGAGGGUUUAUGGUGUGCCUAUAUUUGGCCUAGCCUAACAAUAAAACAAUAACACGGUGCUCCGGUUCUGCGCCAAGUAACUUUUUUUUUUACUUCAAAACGUUGAACGCUCUUUCCUACUUCCGGCACACACACACUAACUCGUCUAACGGCGGCGCGCUUGACUGUGCAGCUCCCGGACUGCGUUUUGCUGACGAGAGAAUCGAACCGUGGAGUCCGAAUCUGUGAGUAUACCGCUGACUUCGCCGGGCUGCGCUACCUGUCGCUGCCGGUGUGGAUGAGUGGACUAAGCCGGACGUCAGAAUAACAAGUGGCGUUGUUGGAUCUCAGCGUGUUCAGGAAUUGCUAUCCGAACAUGAAUGGGUUCACCUUGAUGCUGCUGUUUGCUGCUCAGUGCUUUCCAGUAACAGCAAGUCAAGACAUGUCUUCUGUUGUUUGCACCACUCAUGAUAAAAACAAAAAACAAGUUUAUGAGAUAUUUAACAGAUACUGUAUUUUACAGGCGGAAACAAAUCGGCACAGCUCUUUUUCUGCAGUAUUCCAGGAUGUGGCUCUAAUGUGACCCACGUGUUUUGCAACGACGAGUCGCUCCUCAGUGAUGGUCCCAUCCCGAACUGUACCGGGCCUCCACCCCCCAAUACUGUCUGCCAGCACAAGGGCUUCGCAUUCGCCUCCACCGAUUCAGAUGCUGGCUGUGAUUUUGAAGGGAAAGACGGUCUUAUUGAGUCGGGAAAAUGUACAGGUGCUUACAUGUGCUUUCCAAAGGAUGACAUAUAUUAUGGUCGUCUCUCAGUCAUUCCCCCUACGUGCAAAGUUAGCCAUUUUCUGCUGCUGUCCGCUUUGUUGUUGCUUCAUCACUGCAGCUCGGCGUGUUAUUUGUUAAUAAUUUUGCAUUGGAGGGAAGUUCUUUUACUCCACAUUGGUAAACUUUUACAACCAAAUAGUGGUCGUUUAAUGUCUCUGUGGACACCUUUUGCUUACUUUUGGUGCAUUUUUCACAAGAUGCAACACAAAACAACCUUGAUUAGAUUCUGGGAUUUAAUUUAUUCCUAUUGAAAUGUAUCUGUCUGAUAUAUAUUGACGAUCAUUUAGAAUUUCACAUAAUUUAAUAUAUUUUCUGUUGUCCAAUGACUGAUGCAAUUCUGUCUUGUAUACAAGUGACAUUUCUCUUGUUUCCUCUACUAGACAACAGCAGCAUCUGUGCUUCUCUUCACCGUGGUGAGUUUUUGUGCAGAUACACUUUACCACUUUAUCAUGUUGCCAACGGAUUUUAUUGACCUCAACAGGAUUUCAUCGUCCAUCGCUGACCACUGCCUUUCCUCUAGUCAACGCUACAUCACAAGUCCCCACAAGGGGGCGUUAUGGAUUAAUUGUUGAAGGUGUAAUUUGUAAGUUCUGAAAUCUACUUUUGAUGACGCUUAGGUCAAGUUUCUUUUGCUUUGCAUGCAGCUGUCAAUCUUUCUCUCGCCAUUCAUUUCACCUCUGCCUGCCAUGAUAAGUUAUUGGUUGUCUUUUUGCUACUAAUCCAACCAACUUUUGCUCUUCAGUCCUCUGCUCAUGGUUUAAAUGUUUGUCUUUCAAAUGCCAACAAUAAGGUGAGAUCAAAAUUGUAUGGUGUUGCAGUUCAGUAUCUUAAAUAUGCAUCUCUUGGUUCAGUAGGUCUGCUGAUCGUAGGAAUAGGAAUAGCAAGAAGAGUCUCUUAUAGACGCUCACAGCAGGAUUCAGCAAGUAACGCUGCUGUGACUGAACCGCUGAGACAGAUGGAAGGUCCCGAAGGAAUCAGUGAUAGUGAUACUGCUGGAUUGGAAGAUGGCGGUUCUACUUCCCACCAGGAGAGUGGAGUUUAAACAACUGCAGCUUCAUCAUCUUUGUUGUAUUUUUCUCAUUUUUUUCUCAAGAUAUCUCAUGGGGUUGUUUUUUUUUUAAAUGUAGCACAAACAUCCAUGAACUGAUUAGGUUUUUGUGGUUAAAGGUCAACGUGAAAUCAGCCCCAUUAUUACAAACACAAUAUCUCAGGAACACCUUAAGAGAGUUUCUGGACUGCAGGAUGAAGUCAUACGGUUUUUGCAAUCAAAAGGUCACUGUGAAAAAUGUUUAUUUAAUCUUUAUCCUUAUUUAAGGCCACGAGUCGCAUCAAUAAACUUAUACAGAUAAUUUUGCAAACACGUCCAGUAGAAUAACAUGAUGAAGUAAUGCCAUUUUGGACAGACCCUGGUGAAGAAUGUUUAUGCGGUAGUUUUUCCUAUUUUUGAAAUCAACAUGACAUCUGUUUUAGAAGUGUUCCUUUUAGUGCAAGCCUCCCCCACUUCCUGUAUAUUAUCAUUACUAUUAUAUUAUGUACAAUAAACUCAGAUGCAAAUUAAAAGUUGUUGUUUUUUUAAACUUCUGAUACAUUUUGGAGAGAUAAAGAGAUUUACAAAACACAUAAGACUCCCGUUCAGGCCUGCAG
ensembl:lncRNA